rnacentral:rRNA from 1 species
UGAGGAAUAUUGCACAAUGGAGGAAACUCUGAUGCAGCAACGCCGCGUGAGGAUGACGCAUUUCGGUGUGUAAACUCCUUUUAUGAGUCAAGAAAAUGACGGUAGCUCAUGAAUAAGCACCGGCUAACUCCGUGCCAGCAGCCGCGGUAAUACGGAGGGUGCAAGCGUUAUUCGGAAUCACUGGGCGUAAAGGACGCGUAGGCGGGAAGCCAAGUCUGAUGUGAAAUCCUAUGGCUUAACCAUAGAACUGCAUUGGAAACUGGUUACCUAGAGUAUGGGAGGGGGAGAUGGAAUUAGUGGUGUAGGGGUAAAAUCCGUAGAUAUCACUAGGAAUACCGAAAGCGAAGGCGAUCUCCUGGAACAAUACUGACGCUAAGGCGUAGAAAGCGGUGGGGAGACGAAACG